rnacentral:piRNA from 1 species
UGGGAGUCGUCAGAUUAUACUGGAGAA